GAAAAAGUUUCAGAUUCAAAAACCAAAAAAAAUCAAAAGAAACAGUUUCAGAUUCAGUUUCAGAUUCAAACCCUAAAUCGCCGUUGUUACUGAUUCCUGUUGAUGAAAUACUCCGACGAUUAAUCACUAGAUCGGAGAAGGAGAACAAUCGUUUGUGCAUAAAAUCCAUGAAAUAACUGAUUAAAUAGAAACAAAGAUUCAGAAUCAAAUUUCUUUUGGAAUAAAAAUGGUGAAAGGAAAAAUGAAUCCCCCUAGAAAAGAUGAUACAAUUACAGGAAACCUAAGGCAGUCGUUGAAUGCAGUAAAGGAUUUAGUAAAGGUGAUAAAGCCUAUAGGACUGACUGAUAGGG